CUCGUAGGCGGUUCGGUAAGUCAGGUGUGAAAUCUCCACGCUCAACGUGGAGGGGCCACCUGAUACUGCCGUGACUCGAGUCCGGUAGGGGAGUGUGGAAUUCCCGGUGUAGCGGUGAAAUGCGCAGAUAUCGGGAGGAACACCAGUAGCGAAGGCGGCACUCUGGGCCGGAACUGACGCUGAGGAGCGAAAGCGUGGGUAGCAAACA
rnacentral:rRNA from 1 species